rnacentral:tRNA from 1 species
GGAGAGGUGGCUGAGUGGUCGAAGGCGCUCGCCUGGAGAGCGAGUAGGCGGGCUCAAACCUGCCUCGCGGGUUCAAAUCCCGCCCUCUCCGCCA